CUCCCGCACCCUGAGGCAUCCGGAGGUCUCCCCCUGAGCCCCAGCAUGGAGCCCGGAGCCUAGUGAGGCAGCUCAGAGAAGCACAGAUUGGGAAAUGGAGGCUCCAGCAAAGACAGUCCGGCCUGAUUGCAUCGUGCUGCUCGCGAGGACUAGAUCCAAGGUGGACCGGAAGCUGACGUGUUCUUCUAAGACACUAAGUGAACACAGGAAAGUUCUUUGAAAAAGAAACUCCU